AACGUAGGUUCCGAGCGUUAUCCGGAUUUACUGGGCGUAAAGCGCGUUCAGGCGGUUUGGCAAGUCGGGCAUGAAAUCCUUCGGCUCAACCGGGGGAGGUUGUCCGAUACUGCUGAACUGGAGGGCAGUAGAGGGUGGUGGAAUUCCGGGUGUAGUGGUGAAAUGCGUAGAGAUCCGGGGGAACACCAGUGGCGAAAGCGGCCACCUGGACUGCACCUGACGCUGAAACGCGAAAGCUAGGGGAGCGAACGGG
rnacentral:rRNA from 1 species